CGGGAUAAAAAAUUCAGUGGAGAUUUUUUUCAUCAUUUCUGUCUGAAACUGUAGAUUUAUUGUAUUUUUUUAAAGCCGUUUGAAGACAUGAGGUGAAGGAAACACAGAGGAGCCGAUUAACGGUUAAAACUGACGCAGUUUGACGGUUUCAGGUUCGUCCUCAGCAUCAUGGUGGACAUCGGUGUGAGUGGAGCUGCUUGGUUCUGUCGGACCGAGGGGCGCUGCCUAGCAGACGUCCUGCUUCCUGUUCACCUCAGCAACAAAAACGUAGAUGAAGAAGAGGAUCUCAGCCAGUCAGACAGAGAAAAGGUGGAUCCGGUUCUGUUGGAGCAGGUGGAGGAAGGCUCGCCCUGCGUCCUCGCUCUGAGCUGCAGCUCCUCCGCCGCCAUCAGCCGCCUGYUGGUCAUCAGCGAGGCUCGCACCGUAGAGCUGUACGACCAGCUGGGGGAGUACUGCGGGACUGUACGGGGGGCGGAGGAUAAGAGCGUCCAUUCAGACAGUGGAGACAGGGGUCCUUUCUACAGGACGCAGCUGGUCCUUGAUCGUCCCUCCUCAGCCUGUGAUCUGAAGUUGCUCUCUCUGGCAGGGAGGACCAGUGUUCUGGUUUGUCGCAUCAUCGUGGGCCUUCAGGAGCUGCAGCCCGGUCCGGUUCGUGGUCCCGGUAUAGACCUGCAGCAGGUUCAGAGUCUGGUUGAGGAGAUGGGAACGAGCUUGUCUCCUGGAGCCCAACAUCUCAUGGACAUGGUGCAGUUCCAGCAGAGGAACCAGACCAGUUCUCUGGGGGGGUUCCUGCCUCUCCUGAUGGGGGGCGGAGCUCUCUCUGCUCUGGUUGGAGGAGUCGGAGCGUCUGCAGCCGCCUUCAGGAACCUGCCUCAGCCUGCAGACGUCACGCCUCCAGAGUCCGUCAGGCCUGCAGACGUGACCGCAGCUCAGGGUGGAGGGAUGUCAGAGGGCUCCUCGUCUCCGGACCUCUCACUGUCCGACCUCAGCUCUAAUAACACCUCCAGCAGUGAGAACGUUGGUCCGACGAGCCACGCCCAGCUGGAGGAGAUGAUGUCGCACUUCCUGAAGGGGCGGGGCCACGAACAGGCGCUGAGCCCCGACCUCCUGCCCGUGCUCCAAAGCGUUUGCGGUCAGGUGACGCAGCUGCGGCUGGCGGACGCUGAGGAGGCGGCGGAGAGGAAGAAGAUGAGGAACGGAAUGUGGUGAGUGGAGCUGAACCCUCCUGCUGCCCUCGGGUCAAGCUGAGGUCCCRGUUUGACCCGAGGGCAGCAGCGGGGGUUUCUUCUGUCAGAGCAAAACAAUUUAUUUUGUUUCUGAGGCUUUAUGCAUCAAACGCAGCCCAAACCAUCAACCCUCCACCGUCGUGCCGACUGAUUGCUGUGCAUUCUGGGUAAACACCGACGUGUCCGUCUAUAACUGCUGACUCAGCAGCUGAUGUUUGUAGAGCAAAAGCUUGUUUGUUUACCAGAUAUUUACAGGAGAUUUUAAAAGACAACAGUUUGUUUAUCGUCAACAAGUGAAUGAUAAAACGUUCAGACUUCCAGCCGGCGUCAGUUUGACUCCAGAGCUGAAAGCAGCCGAAUAAAGAGGCUCUUUGUCAGAACCGAGCCGCACCGUGGGCUGAUGGGAUCAGCUGAUCCGGACUCCGUGUCCAGAAGACAAACGCAGCUCAACGGGACGAGUUCCUCACAGCUCAUCAAAUAAUAAACAGCUAAAAACUCUAAAGGGACUUGGACUCAGCCAUGGAGCAGCGCCUGGAGGACAUGGAGAGGAGGCUGAAGGAGCACGUGGACCGGCGGCUAGACGCUCUGGAGCAG